UUACAACAGCCAUAGUUUAUUGGAUCUGACUAUCCACUUGGAUAACUGUGGUAAUUCUAGAGCUAAUACAUGCGAAAAGCUCCAACUUUGCNGGCGGAGGUGCAUUUAUUAGAACAAAGCCAACCGACCAUUGGUCGUCACUUGGUGAAUCUGAAUAACUCAGCUGAUCGCAUGGUCUUUGUACCGGCGACAUAUCUUUCAAGUGUCUGCCUUAUCAACUUUCGACGGUAGUUUAUGUGACUACCGUGGUUAUCACGGGUAACGGAGAAUAAGGGUUNGACUCCGGAGAGGGAGCCUGAGAAAUGGCUACCACAUCCAAGGAAGGCAGCAGGCGCGCAAAUUACCCACUCUCAGAAUGAGGAGGUAGUGACGAAAAAUAACGAGGUGGUUCUCUUUGAGGUCCAUCAUCGGAAUGGGUACAAUUUAAAUCCUUUAACGAGGAUCUAUUGGAGGGCAAGUCUGGUGCCAGCAGCCGCGGUAAUUCCAGCUCCAAUAGCGUAUAUUAAAGUUGUUGCGGUUAAAAAGCUCGUAGUUGGAUCUGCGGCCUUGGAUGCCGGUCCCCCACUGGGUGUGUACUGGUUUUCCAGGCCUAAUCAGCUGGUUUUCCAUUGGUACUCUUCAUUGAGCGCCUUUGGUGGCUGGCAAUUUUACUUUGAAAAAAUUAGAGUGCUCAAAGCAGGCGCUUGCCUGAAUACGUGGUGCAUGGAAUAAUGGAAUAGGACCUCGGUUCNAUUUUGUUGGUUUUNGGAAUUGAGGUAAUGGUUAAGAGGGACAGACGGGGGCAUUCGUA
rnacentral:rRNA from 1 species